AAACGACCGCUAAUACCCCAUAUGCCGAGAGGUGAAAUGAAUUUUCGCCUGAGGAUGAGCCCGCGUCUGAUUAGCUAGUUGGUGUGGUAAUGGCGCACCAAGGCUUCGAUCAGUAGCUGGUCUGAGAGGAUGAUCAGCCACACUGGGACUGAGACACGGCCCAGACUCCUACGGGAGGCAGCAGUGGGGAAUUUUCCGCAAUGGGCGAAAGCCUGACGGAGCAACGCCGCGUGAGGGAUGAAUGCCUCUGGGCUGUAAACCUCUUUUAUCAAGGAAGAAGAUCUGACGGUACUUGAUGAAUAAGCCACGGCUAAUUCCGAGCCAGCAGCCGCGGUAAUACGGGAGUGGCAAGCCUUAUCCGGAAUUAUUGGGCGUAAAGCGUCCGCAGGCGGCCUUGAAAGUCUGUCGUUAAAGCGUGGAGCUUAACUCCAUUUCGGCGAUGGAAACUACAAGGCUAGAGUGUGGUAGGGGCAGAGGGAAUUCCCGAUGUAGCGGUGAUAUGCGUAGAUAUCGGGAAGAACACCAGUGGCGAAGGCGCUCUGUUGNGCCAUGG
rnacentral:rRNA from 1 species